AUGCCGAGUAAAAACAAGGAGAAAGAACCACCUAAAGCAGGAAAAGUGGGAAAAGUUCAAAAGAAGGACAGCAAGACGCAGGAGAACCCGAGCAGAUUUCCAGCAAGAAAAACAGCCUUGCCGCUGUCCCGUCUACAGUACCUUCUGAAAUAAAAGUACCAAUCUCUCAGCCCUUAGCAAAGAAAGACAAAUGGCAAAAUUCCUCAAGGUUUAGCGCAAGCAGUAAUAGAGAACUUCAAAAACUACCAUCUUUAAAAGACGUUCCUCUUGCUGAUGAAGAGACGUUUUUAAAAUCCAGAAGUUAGGUCACAGUUGUGUCCUCUUUGUCUUUGUUUCCCAUCCACUAAGUGACCUGAAGUGGAAGGAAGUAGAACGAGCUGAAGUGAACGAGCGUUAAGUGAGACGGUGGAAUAUAUCACCUGCGACGAGAAUGUGCUCACAGAGCCUGUUUACCCAGAAGUGGGACCUAUGUUUGCAGUUCACAUCUUUCAGACAUUACCACCUUCCUCCAAUCCUACGGGAGCAGACUUUGACCCAGAGGAAGACCAACCAACGUUAGAAGCAGCCGGGCCUCAUCUACAGCUGGUUUAUGAAUUUUUCUUAAGAUUUUUAGAGUCUCCAGAUUUCCAACCUAAGAUAGCAAAGAAAUAUAUUGACCAGAAGUUUGUAUUGCAGCUUUUAGAGCUCUUUGACAGUGAAGAUCCUCGGGAGAGAGAUUUUCUUAAUACCACCCUUCGCAGAAUCUAUGGGAAAUUCUUAGGCUUGAGAGCUUACAUCAGAAAACAGAUAAAUAACAUAUUUUAUAGGUUUAUUUAUGAAAAAGAGCAUCACAAUGGCGUAGCAGAAUUACUGGAAAUAUUGGGACAUAUAAUUAAUGGAUUUGCUUUACCGCUAAAAGAAGAGCACAAGAUUUUCUUGUUGAAGGUGUUACUACCUUUGCACAAAGUGCUAUCGCCGAGUGUCUACCAUCCCCAGCUGGCAUACCAUGUAGUGCAGGUUUUAAAAAAGGACAGCAUCCUCACUGAACCAGUGGUGAUGGCACUUCUCAAAUACUGGCCAAAGACUCACAGUCCAAAAGAAGUCAUGUUCUUAAAUGCAUUGGAAGAGAUUUUAGAUGUAAUCGAGCCAUCGGAAUUCGUGAAGAUCGUGGAACCUCUUUUCCGGCACUGAGCCAAGUGUGUCUCCAGUCCACACUUCAGCAGCAGCCAUGAGCUUCUGUCUUUCAGGUGGCAGAACGGGCACUGCAUUACUGGAGUAAUGAAUACAUCACGAGCUUGAUCAGCGACAACGCCGCCAAGAUUCUGCCCAUCAUGUUCCCAUCUUUGUACCAAAACUCGAAAGACCCAUUGGAAUAAGACGAUACAUGGCUUGAUACACAACACCCUGAAACUCUUCAUGGAGAUGAACCAGAAACUUUUCCAUGACUACACUCAACAGUUUAAAGCCAAAAAACUGAAAGAGAAGCUAAAAAUGAAAGAACAAGAAGAAGCAUGAGUUAAAAUAGAAAAUCUAGCCAAAGCCAAUCCCCGAGGCACUAAAAAAGAGAGUAACAUGAAAACGUCCAGGCGCAACCAAGUGUUUGGGAAGGAUAUGGCUAAUGAAUGCACAGUACGUCGAUGGCUCGAAAUGUUCUGUUCUGGUGAUUUCAAUCUGGGAAAUGAGCUACAGAGACAACUGGAGUCCAAGGUAGAUUAUGAUGAGCUGAAAGCUUUAGUGGAAGCAAGUCUGUAG